GUCUAUAGCCAUGCCACCCUGAAUACGUUCAAUCCCAUCUGAUCUCAGAAGGUAAGCAGGAUCGGGCCUGCUUGGAUGGGAGACCACCUAGGAAGACCAGGUGCUGUAGGCG
rnacentral:rRNA from 1 species